rnacentral:RNase_P_RNA from 1 species
UAAGUAGAUCAGGUAAUCGCCUUAAAUCCUUUUUUAAGGAGGAAAGUCCGAACUCCAAAAAGCAAGGUGCUGGAUAACGUCCAGUGGAAGUGAUUCCAAGGAAAGUGCCACAGAAAAUAUACCGCCUUAAUCUUAAAUUAAGGUAAGGGUGAAAAGGUGUGGUAAGAGCACACCGCGUUCCGGGUGAUCGGAACGGCACGGUAAACCCCACCUGGAGCAAGGUCAAAUAGAGGAGCUAUAUAGUCGCUUGCUAUGCUCCCGGGUAGACUGCUAGAAGCCUAUGGUAACAUAGGUUAAAGAUAAAUGAUUACCAAAUACAGAAUUCGGCUUAUGAUCUACUUACUUU